rnacentral:rRNA from 1 species
AGAGUUUGAUCAUGGCUCAGAAUCAACGCUGGCGGCAUGCCUAACACAUGCAAGUCGAACGAGAAAGUGGAGCAAUCCAUGAGUACAGUGGCGCACGGGUGAGUAACACGUGACUAACCUACCUUCGAGUGGGGAAUAACUCCGGGAAACCGGGGCUAAGACCGCAUAAUAUCGAGAGAUCAAAUGCGAAAGCAGCUUGAAGAGGGGGUCGCGGUUGAUUAGCUAGUUGGCGGGGUAAUGGCCCACCAAGGCAAUGAUCAAUAGCCGGCCUGAGAGGGCGCACGGCCACACUGGAACUGAAACACGGUCCAGACUCCUACGGGAGGCAGCAGUGGGGAAUUUUGCGCAAUGGGGGAAACCCUGACGCAGCAAUGCCGCGUGGAGGAUGAAGUCCUUUGGGAUGUAAACUCCUUUCGAUCGGGAAGAUAAUGACGGUACCGGAAGAAGAAGCCCCGGCUAACUCUGUGCCAGCAGCCGCGGUAAUACAGAGGGGGCAAGCGUUGUUCGGAAUUAUUGGGCGUAAAGGGCGCGUAGGCGGUGCGGUAAGUCACUUGUGAAAUCUCUGGGCUCAACUCAGAGUCUGCAAGCGAAACUGCCGUGCUUGAGUAUGGGAGAGGUAUGUGGAAUUCCCGGUGUAGCGGUGAAAUGCGUAGAUAUCGGGAGGAACACCUGUGGCGAAAGCGGCUCACUGGACCAUAACUGACGCUGAUGCACGAAAGCUAGGGGAGCAAACAGGAUUAGAUACCCUAGUAGUCC